GGGGGCGAAUGGCUUCGACCGGAUGGCGGAUGGUCAAGCUGCAUGCCCAGGACGCCGGUUGGCCUGGCUAAUCACCCGGCAAUAAGUUUAAUUGGCAACACACAGUUGCGCAUGGCUGCUUAAUUAGCGGCCCGUCCUGCCUGAUUUUGCCUGCGGGUCUGGUAAGGGCGUCAAAUAGUGGGCUGGCCGAGCCGGUUUUUCGGGCCGGUAAGGCGAGAUUCAAUCCCGGAAUAGCCGCGUUAUGAGCCUGUCGUUUGGCGCUUGACAAGGCGAAAAAACAAUAAAGCGACUAAGCAUGUAGACGCUUGUCUUGAAGCAUCUCGGGACGGGGGUUCGAAUCCCCCCGCCUCCAGUC
rnacentral:tmRNA from 1 species